AUUGAACGCUAGCGGGAUGCCUUACACAUGCAAGUCGAACGGAGUGGCGAACGGGUGAGAACUGUAUAUGAACGUGCCCAGUAGCGGGGGAUAACUACGAGAAAGCGUAGCUAAUACCGCAUACUAUUGGAGCGGCCGAUAUCGGAUUAGCUAGUUGGAGGGGUAACGGCUCACCAAGGCGACGAUCCGUAGCUGGUUUGAGAGGAAGACCAGCCACACGUGGAUUGAGACACGGCCCAGACUCCGACGGGAGGCAGCAGUGGGGAAUAUUGGACAAUGGGGGAAACCCUGAUCCAGCCAUCCCGCGUGUGUGAUGAAGGCCUUCGGGUUGUAAAGCACUUUUGGCAGGAAAGCGGUACCUGCAGAAUAAGCACCGGCUAACUACGUGCCAGCAGCCGCGGUAAUAC
rnacentral:rRNA from 1 species